rnacentral:lncRNA from 1 species
GUCCUUUAAGUACGAUGAAUAAACAAGGACUUUCCUCCCUUCUGAAAAUGCCCUCCCAACGCUGCAUGGCAUUUAUUAGAAGGUGUUGAAGGUAUAAGGCACUCGAUCUUCCUUGUGGGCCUCCCCUGACAUUCUUGGCCCUGCUCACCAGUCUGUAGAAGAAGAUUUGUGAAUCUCCUGGUGGUGACAGGCUUAAGGUGACAUGACACUUCCCACGUGCACCAAAAAAGCGUGUAUUUCUGUACUUCCAUUUUCAUGAGCACCUGUUGGCAUUGGUGAGAAAUUACUUAUCCAGUGAAUUUAAAAAGCAAAUUAAAAUAGUCAAUCAUUUAGAAUAAGUGUAUGUUUUGUAGGGGAAAAAUGCUGAUUCCUUCAGGAGAGAAGAAAGUUUUUUUAAAGUCUAGGUG